rnacentral:rRNA from 1 species
ACCCAUUCCUACCAGUUUUUAUACCCACACCACACUCCCCUCCCCACCUCUCUCCCUCUCUCUCCUUCGCUUCCCUCUCCUCCGCUCGCCGCUUCUCCCGGGGACAGCCCCAGCCCUAGCGGAGCGGAGCCGUAGCCCAGCCCGGCGCGCGUCCGUUGCGCCGCGGUCUGUCCUUGUCACCUGCCAGAUCCAGACCCGGUGCCAGACCGCCGGGAUCCUCCGCGACGGUGGUGCUGUGGGGGAAGUGCCUGAACGCCGCCACUCCCUGAUCGGGGCUACCUACUCGCGUGAUUCGAGGUAGAGCGAGCUCAUGAAUUUGCAUCACAUGGAUGGGUUCUCAGCAUUUUGAGUUUGGGUGAUCAAAUCAGCAUCAUAUAGAUUUCUUUUGCUCGGCCGACAUGGGAGCUAAUUGCUGUAUAGCUGCAAAGCAGAGGCCUCAGCCAUGUAUCAUUCCAGUUGAAGUGUCAGCUUACAGGAAUGUAAGACACUCCCCAUCAUGGAGCUUCCGAUGGGAUAACAGAACACAUAUAGAAGACAUAAUGGAAAUCCCCACAUUUUUGUCCAACCAUAGUAGUGGAAGCAUUCGGCCUGAAACGAAGAGUGGUUCCAUUGCACCAACUGAAGGCUUUUCUAAUGGAGGUAGCCCUUCUGAAUUGUUCCACAAGGUCAAGUGGCAGAAAUCAGAAAAGAAGAUGGAAACAUCUAAAGUUGCACAAUCUGAUCCUAGAGAUAGACCCACUGCAAGUCACUCCUCCCCCGAGGCAAAGCUUUGCAGGAAAUCACUAGACAUGGUAAGUGUUGCUUCAGAUACGAAGGCAUCAACCUCUGUCCCUUCAACACCACCUGUAGUAUCCAGAGCAGAUCCUUCAUCCUCUAGGGGGCAUUCUCUAGGGAUGGAUACAGACUCAAUGAGGAAAGCACGUCGCUCACCAGGAUAUCAACUAUAUAGACAGGUCUCAUACAGCAAGAUUCCAUCUCUCAGGUCUCUCAAUGAGAGCAACUCUCCUGAAGGAAGGCCUUCCUCCUCUAUGCUCUCAGUCUGCAGCAAUGAUUUAUCUGUAGCAGGAUCACAUGGAGAGUCAUCUGAUGGUUGGUCAAUGCGAACAUUUUCUGAAAUGGUUGCAUCAUCCCAAAGAGAGAGAUGGUCAAUUGAUAGUGAGCUCUUAGGUUCCGUUUCAAGUAAAAUGACUCGAUCAAAUGCUUCAAAUCGUACUACCGUCUCCCCUGACCAAGAGGUGUGCAAACUAUGUUUAAAGCUACUAAAGGAAAGGUCAGCGUGGAAUGCCCAGGAUCUGGGUGUUGUCGCUGUUUUAUUGUGCGGCCAUGUUUACCAUGCUGACUGCCUGGAUAGCUUAACUGCAGAAGCUGAGAAAUAUGAUCCUCCUUGUCCCGUAUGCACCCACGGUGAACAAUGUACUGUGAAGCUAUUCGGUAAGCUGGAAUCAAAGAUAAAGAACAAGAUAUCUACAAAUGUGAUACUCGAUGGUGAUCUAGAUGGGAGCUCUAAGCAUCAAAAGAAAAGUAGGAGAGUUCCCAGAUUAGGCACAAGUAUUAGCAUGAAGGACUCGUUCAGUCGGCCAUUUUUGAGGAGGCAUUUCUCAAUUGGCUCCCGGCCACCCCGGUUAGUUUCAGAGAGCGAGUCAACAAGGAAGAAGGGCUUCUGGGCGAGGCACUGGACAGAAUAGCAUAGUACUCGGUCAUCAAACAGGAGGGUUCUUGAAGAGGAAGUGAACUCCCAAGCAAAUCAUGUGGGUUUUGUAGUCAAUGAUGUGAAAGAUAUUUGCUGUCGGGCAACCAUCGUACUAGAAGUUCCUCCCACUCCUCAUGUUCAGAGUUGGGAACUCGUGGAGUGCUGUCAUCGGUUUCCAGGAUAGAAGAAUAAUAACAGUUUCUAUACUAUGCAACUGAGGGUUCUUGCAGACCCCGUCGCAGCUUAUUAGCAAGUAACCUAACAGAGAAGGGGAUGGCCUUCAGGCUGAAGGUAGGAUCCAGCAUGGUAGAUUGUUAUGUUUGCAGUUUUUCUUCGUCGUAUUAUUGGUUAUGCGCACCGGUGAUUUGUUUGAUCUGAUACAUAAUUUGGGAACUAUCGUACAUAGCUGAUGCUAUUUGUUUGAUUAAAAUGCAUCACCGAAGGCGUCGAUGGUUUUAUGGGGAUUAUGUUUAGAAGAAAUAUGAUGUCUUUCUCUUCGUCCAGAACAGAACAGAAGUGUUCUCCCUUUUUCUUUUUAUAUUGUUAGUCUUCAGCAGCUUCGUAUCCUUUUUUCUUCUCUUCAACGGAUCGGCAGACGCUGCAGAAUUGGGAAACCGGAAGAGGAUGUUUUCUCAGGCACCAAAAAUCUGAAGAAUCAAACACCCCUCCAAUCUCAGUUAACUCUACUUACCACUUCUUUUUAGUAUGAAAUUCCGGCCGCCGAUCAUCAUUGAUCCAAUGACGCCAAUCACUUCGUACUGCUUAGUUUGAAAAUUCUGGCCGCCGAUCACUUCGUACUCCUUCGAGCCAUGCCCGAGUGUCACUGUUUACCGAAAAUCAUCUCACCUUCACAGGGUUAUAAUCGUUCAUGAGAAGUUCAGCAACAAAGGGUGAUUGGUUAAGCCACAGAGCUAUCUGACAAUUGCUCGCUAAGCAAUGUGCAGCCCUAUUUUGUUCACGAGAUAUCUUAACCGGAUCAAACACCCUAUUCUCCAGGAAGCCAUUCAUCUUAACCGGAUCAAACACCCUAUUCUCCAACAAGCCAUUCACCUCAAC